AUUGAACGCUGGCGGCAUGCUUUACACAUGCAAGUCGAACGGUAACAGGGUGCUUGCACCGCUGACGAGUGGCGAACAGGUGAGUAAUGCGUCGGAACGUGCCGAGUAGUGGGGGAUAACGCAGCGACAGCUGUGCUAAUACCGCAUUCGUACUGAGGUAGAAAGUGGGGGACUUUCGGGCCUCAUGCUAUUCGAGCGGCCGACGUCUGAUCAGGUAGUUGGGGAGGUAACGGCUCCCCAAGUCGACGAUCGGAAGCCGAACUGAGAGGUUGAUCGGCCACAUUGGGACUGAGACACGGCCCAGACUCCUACGGGAGGCAGCAGUGGGGAAUAUUGGGCAAUGGGGGAAACCCUGACCCAGCAACGCCGCGUGAAGGACGAAGGCCUUCGGGUUGUAAACUUCUUUGAUCAGGGACGAAACAAAUGACGGUACCUGAAGAACAAGCCACGGCUAACUACGUGCCAGCAGCCGCCGUAAAAC
rnacentral:rRNA from 1 species